rnacentral:rRNA from 1 species
AGUGAACGCUGGCGGUAGGCCUAACACAUGCAAGUCGAACGGCAGCACAGUAAGAGCUUGCUCUUACGGGUGGCGAGUGGCGGACGGGUGAGGAAUACAUCGGAAUCUACUUUUUCGUGGGGGAUAACGUAGGGAAACUUACGCUAAUACCGCAUACGACCUACGGGUGAAAGCAGGGGAUCUUCGGACCUUGCGCGAUUGAAUGAGCCGAUGUCGGAUUAGCUAGUUGGCGGGGUAAAGGCCCACCAAGGCGACGAUCCGUAGCUGGUCUGAGAGGAUGAUAAGCAACACUGGAACUGAGAAACGGUCCAGACUCCUACGGGAGGCAGCAGUGGGGAAUAUUGGACAAUGGGCGCAAGCCUGAUCCAGCCAUACCGCGUGGGUGAAGAAGGCCUUCGGGUUGUAAAGCCCUUUUGUUGGGAAAGAAAAGCAGCAGGUUAAUACCCCGCUGUUCUGACGGUACCAAAAGAAUAAGUACCGGCUAACUUCGUG